rnacentral:tRNA from 1 species
GCCGAUAUAGCUCAGUUGGUAGAGCAGCGCAUUCGUAAUGCGAAGGUCGUAGGUUCGGUGUAGGCUGGAGCUGCUUCGAAGUUCCUAUACUUUCUAGAGAAUAGGAACUUCGGAAUAGGAACUAAGGAGGAUAUUCAUAUGACUCCUAUUAUCGGCACCA